UACGAAGGGGGCUAGCGUUGUUCGGAAUUACUGGGCGUAAAGCGCGCGCAGGCGGCUAUCCAAGUCAGUGGUGAAAGCCCGGAGCUCAACUCCGGAACUGCCAUUGAAACUGUUUAGCUUGAGUAUGAGAGAGGUGAGUGGAAUUCCCAGUGUAGAGGUGAAAUUCGUAGAUAUUGGGAAGAACACCGGUGGCGAAGGCGGCUCACUGGCUCAUUACUGACGCUAAGGCGCGACAGCGUGGGGAUCAAACAGG
rnacentral:rRNA from 1 species